rnacentral:tRNA from 1 species
UGGGAUGUAGCUCAGUGGUAGAGUGAUUGCCUAGCAUAUAGAAGGCCCUAGGUUCAACCCCCAGCAUCACUA